AUUCCUGCCUUAGUACUUGUGAGGAUUACAUGAGAUAAUGAGUGGGAAGCAACUAAAGAUAGUAAGAACGUAAGUAAACAGGUCCUCAUGGAGAUUGGAAGUCAGAAGAAAGCCAAGGAAAGAACUGGUCAUAUUAUUUCCAGAGGUCUUCUCAGAUCAGGAUUUUGCUUCAUCCACUACCCUCCACUUCCAGAGAUUGUGAAGACAUGCUUUUCUACAAGUCAUGUUUCUUCUUUUCACUCUAUUGGAGAGGAGAAUAAGUCCACAGAGGUACAGAAGGAAGCCCACGUGAAGACACAGGGAAAAGCUGGCCAUCAGCAAGCCAAGGAGAGAGACCUCACAAGGAACCUCUAACAAUUUGAUUUUGGAAUUCCAGUCUCUGGAACUGUGAGGAAAUAAAUACCUGUUUAAGCUGGUCUGAGGCACUUUGUCUGCAGCUCUCCCGAACUAGUACAAUGUCCUGGAGGAGGGAGAAAAGGAACUUUGAAAAGGAUACAAAUUUACUUAAAACACAUAUAUUGGCUUGGACAAUUGUUAACAGUGUUCUUUCCUCCUGAAACUAC